rnacentral:rRNA from 1 species
UACGUAGGGUGCAAGCGUUGUCCGGAAUUAUUGGGCGUAAAGAGCUCGUAGGCGGUCUGUCGCGUCUGCUGUGAAAACUCGGGGCUCAACCCCGAAACUGCACUUGAUACUGCCUUGCUAGAGUACUGGAGAGGAGAUUGGAAUUUACGGUGUAGCAGUGAAAUGCGUAGAUAUCGUAAGGAAGACCAGUGGCGAAGGCGAAUCUCUGGACAGUUACUGACACUGAGGCACGAAGGCCAGGGGAGCAAACGGG